rnacentral:rRNA from 1 species
GGUUCAUCGUGUACACCGGAAUGUGAUGAAAAUCUAAAGCCGGCUGUAGGUAUGACAUUCGAGAACAUGGAAGCCGUCGAGGAGUUCUACAAGGCUUAUGCACACAAUGUUGGCUUUUCAGUUCAAAUCGGUCAGAAGAGGACUGUGGAUAAUUUGGUGGUCUGGAGACGAUUUUUGUGUGCCAAAGCAGGUUUCAGAUCCAAGGCAGAGGAAGUCAAGAAGGUUGUGACCGGAAAUAAGCUAAGUAAGCAGAAGAAGACAAAGAUUACUAGAUGUGGUUGCGAAGCCAUGAUAACUGUCAGGCUUAUGCAGGGUGGCAUAUACUCAAUAAUAUAUUUUCAUGAAGAACACACACAUGAAUUUUUCACACCUAGCAAACAACAUUUAAUCAAGUCAAAUAGAUAAGUUAGUCAAAGGGCCAAGACCACUCUUUUCACAUGCCAUGCAGCUAGCAUUGGCACAUCGGGUGCCUUCCGAUUGCUCCGUAUUGGCGAGGGCGGAUUUGAGUUUGUGGGUUGCUCAAAAAGAGACUUCCAGAUUUAUCAUCAUAAUUUGAGAAGUUCUAUCAAGGAUUCAGAUGCUCAGAUGUUCAUUGAUAACCUCAAGAAAAGGAAGCAAAUCAACCCAGCGUUUUAUUUUGAUUACAUUCUUGAUGACAAAAAUCGUCUAACUCAUGUGUUCUGGGCAGAUGCUACUUGUAGAAAGAACUAUGCUAUAGCAGGAGACAUGGUGUCUUUUGACUCUACAUAUAGCACCAACCAGUAUAAUAUGAUAUUUUGCCCUUUCACAGGGAUAAACCACCAUAGGGGGUCUGUGUUCUAUGGUGCCGCCUUGAUUGUGAAUGAGAAGAUACCGUCAUACAAGUGGGUGUUCCAAACAUUCUUGAAAGCAAUGGAUGGAGUAGCACCCAGACUUAUAGUAACUGAUGAAGAUGCCAGCAUGAAGGCCGGCAUCGAAGAGGUUAUGCCGACAACCAUCCAUAGGUUAUGCAUGUGGCAUAUAAUGAAAAAGCUUCCAGAAAAGGUCGGUCCUUCUUUGAGAGAAGAUGAAGAUUUCUAUAAGGUUGUGAACGCGUGUGUAUGGGGCUCUGAAAAUCCAACUGAAUUUGAGGCAAAUUGGUCUUCUAUGAUUUCUAAAUUUGCUUUGGAGAACAAUGAGUGGUUUUCUCACAGAUAUGAAAUCCGUGAGUCAUGGAUACCGGCGUACUUCAGGGGUGUAUUCAUGGCUGAGAUUUUGAGAACCACUUCAUGGUCAGAGAGUGCUAACUCAUUUUUCAACCAUUUUAUUGGUUACAAGCAUGCUUUGGUGGAGUUUUGGAUUAGGAUUGGUACAGCCAUAGAAGAGCAGCGUCAGAAUGAACUUAAGGCUGACCAUGAAUGUUUUGAUUCGCUGCCUGAAUUGGUAACAUCAUGGGGCAUUGAGAAGCAUGCAAGUCUAUACUUCACACAUGAAGUCUUCUGAGCUUUUCAAAAGGAGGUACUUGCAGCUAGAGAUCAUUGCUUGAUUUAAAGCAUCUCACAGGAUGGUGAUGUCAAAACCACGGUUAUAGGUGGUAAUUACGGCAAGGCUAGAGAGGUUCAAUUCAACACAUCAUCCAUGAGUGCUCACUGCUCCUGCAUGUUGUUUGCGACACGUGGAAUUCCAUGCCGACAUAUCAUCUUGGUUUUGAGAGGUGCCAAGUUGAAUGAGCUCCCUAGUCAUUUUAUUUUGGAUAGGUGGAAAAAGGUAGUUAACAGGAGGGCUUUAUAUGAUAGCAGUGGCAAUUUGCUUGAGGAGAACGCGAAGUUGAUGUCAAUCAUCCUAGUAGACAAGAAGAAUUUGACGCACAUAUUGGUUGUAGUAUGCCUACUCAAAUUGACAUUCAUCCACCAACUGAUGUUCGUAUGAAGGGGAGAUGCAAAAGAAUUAGGGGUCACUCAGAUAAGGGGGGCACAACAAAAUAAGGAUUUUGGGAGCCAGAAGAAGAAGCCCCGCAUGUACCGGAAGUGUAAGGAGGUCGGUUUCCAACUAAAUAUGUCAACCUGCGGUUUCUUUUGCUUUGGUUCUGGACAAUAUGAUGGUUUUCUUUUGAUGGAAUACAAGAUGGAAUUUAGAGAUUCAACUAUCUUUGAAAUUAUAUCUUUAGAGUUUCAGUGUUGUCUUCUAGGAGCUUCAGUCUUGUCUUUAAUUUUUUGCUUUUUAUUUUCUCAAAUUGAAAUCCAGUAA